CUGUAGGGGUACAGUGUGACCCAGACUGGACCGGUGAUCUCUGGACUGUAGGGGUACAGUGUGACCCAGACUGGACCGGCGAUCUCUGGACUGGGGGGUUACUGUAUGAUCUGGUCCAGUCCUGGUGACAGUGUCUACAAUCCUGUCCGUGUGCUCAAUGAAGUGGGUCCUGUCCUGUGUGUGUCUGUGGACAGCAGGGUACUUGUAGGUUAUGUUGUAUAAAAGUGUCAUAUUUAAACAGGCUCGCCCCUGUUCGAGACGCAGACAUUGCCGAAGAGCCAACCCCCCAGCCUCACUGCUGCUGGAAGUCCAGUCUGGCCAUCAGUCUCCAGUCCUCUUAAUUCCCAGCUCUGCUGGGGGCCCCAGUCCACUCUGUGGGGGGUGUCUCUGUGGUCUCUCGGUACGGAAGGAGGAUGAUGAUGAUGGGUCUGCUUCAUCACCGUCGGGCACGCAGAGGGAGUGAGCUCAGGGCGGACUGCAGGACUCCAGACCACCAGGCUCGGGGGGUUUACUCUGGCGGUCAUUUCGGUGUCGUUCCAAAUCCAGCCCGUGUCUCUGGUGCCAGUAACUCCUAUUGUCAGUACCGAACUCCGAGCACUUGAAUGUUUUUUUGAAAAUGCAAGUCACUUGGUAGCAAUGCAGUGACGGCGGGUCCGGACUGGCGCUGAACCUGCUCCUGGAGCUGUUGUAAGGCAAUGCAAUGCAAACUCUUUUUUUGUUGUUUUCAAAGACGUGACAGUGAGUGUCUGUUAACUGUGUGGUGAGACCGUCCUUCUCCAGCCCCUGGGCAACUGGACAGCACCUGGCUCGGCCCAGCCCUUCAGGGGCCCAGUCAGGGGUUAAAGGUCAGUUCAGUCUCUGAGACCCCAGCCCUUCAGGGGCUCUGGGGGUCUUCAGUCAGGGGUUAAAGGUCAGUUCAGUCUCUGAGACCCCAGUCCUUCGGGGGCUCUGGGGGUCUUCAGUCAGGGGUUAAAGGUCAGUUCAGGGGUUAAAGGUCAGUUCAGUCUCUGAGACCCCAGCCCUUCAGGGGCUCUGGGGGUCUUCAGGCAGGGGUUAAAGGUCACAGUGAAUCUGGACCAUGAGGACCUCUGCAGUUGUAACAGGUCUUGGUGUGAGGGGCUGGAGAGGGGUGAAUCGUCUCACUAGAAAUCUGAGUCUCAGUGUUUUGUGAAAGCUCUGUUUGAGUCUUGUCCCAGCGGUUACAGCCAGGGGGCAGUUUUCAAUGUUGGGGUGAACCGUUGUCCUGGAGCGCUGUAGCCUGCUCACUGGCCUCAGCGCGGAGACCUCGGGCGCCGAUCGAGAACUCGCGUGGCUCCCCGACUCGAGGGCGGUGGGAGAGUGCGGCCGCACUGUCGCCACUCUGAGCCCCACCGCAGGGGCCCCGAGUUUCCAGAGGGGGCUCCCCUUCCCGUCGGUCACUCUCCCAGGGCGGCCGGCUGCGAACGGAUUCUCCUGUCCUGGGUCCGCCCUCGGCCGGGCCCCCCUCCGGGCGUGGAAACGGACCGGUCCGCUUGUCGGCGCCGGCCGCGGUCGGGGGGGGUCCCGGAUCCCGUCUGCGGGCGGAGGGCCAGAGGGCGCCGUCCGCAGAGCCUCCUGCCCCCCCGGAAACAGCGCAGGUGCCUGUCUCUCCCCCCAGGGAACAGGCGAGGGGCCACAGCUGGGGCCCAGGGGUCACUGCCCGGCCAGCCAGGAGGCUAGAGGGGGGCGAGAGGGAGAGGGAAGAGGCCCGAGCCGGGAGAGACCCCGGAACGCCGGCAGCCCUCAGCAGGGCCGACGGGAAGCUGAUCCCGAGGGCGGGGGGGCGCAGUGGGGUCAGGCGCUUCCCUGGGGGGGGUUGAGCAUCCUGCAGGGCUGACGAUGGAACUCUCUGGUUAAAAAACAGUGUGCUUCGUAACGUGAAAAAUAAAGGAAGGCGAUGUAACGGC